CAGUCGCCGCGGGAAUACGAAGGGGGCUAGCGUUGUUCGGAAUUACUGGGCGUAAAGCGCACGUAGGCGGAUAUUUAAGUCAGGGGUGAAAUCCCAGAGCUCAACUCUGGAACUGCCUUUGAUACUGGGUAUCUUGAGUAUGGAAGAGGUGAGUGGAAUUCCGAGUGUAGAGGUGAAAUUCGUAGAUAUUCGGAGGAACACCAGUGGCGAAGGCGGCUCACUGGUCCAUUACUGACGCUGAGGUGCGAAAGCGUGGGGAGCAAACAGGAUUAGAUACCCCAGUAGUCCCUGUCUCUUAUAC
rnacentral:rRNA from 1 species